rnacentral:rRNA from 1 species
UACGGGGGGGGGCAAGCGUUGUUCGGAAUUACUGGGCGUAAAGGGCUCGUAGGCGGCCAACUAAGUCGGAUGUGAAAUCCCUCGGCUCAACCGAGGAACUGCGUCCGAUACUGGAAGGCUUGAAUCCGGGAGAGGGAUGCGGAAUUCCAGGUGUAGCGGUGAAAUGCGUAGAUAUCAGGAGGAACACCGGUGGCGAAGGCGGGUCUCUGGGCCGAUAUUGACGCUGAGGAGCGAAAAGCGUGGGGGAGCGAACAGG